GCAAAUACCUUUUUUUCCAAAUAACAUCACAUUGGCAGUUUCCCAGACAUAGCUUUUUUGGGGGAUGGGGUUGGGGGAAAAUUCAAUUUACUACAGAUGAAAAUCACAUAACUUGUUUCAGAGAGUUGUCAUGAGAGGUCCCUGAAACAAGGUGUGUGAGGCAGCCUGCCCCAGAGUGGGUGGGUGUUAAAUGUUAGUUUUCUCCUCUACUUCUCCCUCUGUCCUCAAAAAGGUUUAGCACUACUAAUUCACAAUGAAGUGGCUGGGGCCGAAGGGUUUCUUCUCCCAGCCUACCUCCACUGGAGAGAAUUUCAUUUUAAUGAGGAGUCAGGACUGUUGAGAGAGAACUUAAUGUCCAAAGAAGUCCCCAAGGAGCCACAUGCUGCUUGAAUUAUGUAAAGG
rnacentral:lncRNA from 10 species